UACGAAGGGGGCUAGCGUUGUUCGGAAUUACUGGGCGUAAAGCGUGCGCAGGCGGCUUCUCAAGUCAGGGGUGAAAGCCCAGAGCUCAACUCUGGAAUUGCCUUUGAUACUGGGGACCUCGAGGGAGGUAGGGGCGUGCGGAACUUCCGGUGGAGCGGUGAAAUGCGUAGAUAUCGGAGGGAACACCGGUGGCGAAAGCGGCGCGCUGGACCUCUUCUGACGCUGAGGCGCGAAAGCCAGGGGAGCAAACGGG
rnacentral:rRNA from 1 species